UACGUAGGGUGCGAGCGUUGUCCGGAAUUACUGGGCGUAAAGAGCUCGUAGGCGGUUUGUCGCGUUGUUCGUGAAAACUCACAGCUUAACUGUGGGCGUGCGGGCGAUACGGGCAGACUGGAGUACUGCAGGGGAGACUGGAAUUCCUGGUGUAGCGGUGGAAUGCGCAGAUAUCAGGAGGAACACCGGUGGCGAAGGCGGGUCUCUGGGCAGUAACUGACGCUGAGGAGCGAAAGCGUGGGGAGCAAACAGG
rnacentral:rRNA from 1 species